GGCAGUGAAGCUGGGUAAUACAGCGCUUGUCUAGCAUGCUUAAGGCCCUGGGUUCUAUUCUCAGCACUGCCU
rnacentral:tRNA from 1 species